rnacentral:rRNA from 1 species
GACGAACGCUGGCGGCGUGCCUAAUACAUGCAAGUCGAACGAACUCUGGUAUUGAUUGGUGCUUGCAUCAUGAUUUACAUUUGAGUGAGUGGCGAACUGGUGAGUAACACGUGGGAAACCUGCCCAGAAGCGGGGGAUAACACCUGGAAACAGAUGCUAAUACCGCAUAACAACUUGGACCGCAUGGUCCGAGCUUGAAAGAUGGCUUCGGCUGUCACUUUUGGAUGGUCCCGCGGCGUAUUAGCUAGAUGGUGGGGUAACGGCUCACCAUGGCAAUGAUACGUAGCCGACCUGAGAGGGUAAUCGGCCACAUUGGGACUGAGACACGGCCCAAACUCCUACGGGAGGCAGCAGUAGGGAAUCUUCCACAAUGGACGAAAGUCUGAUGGAGCAACGCCGCGUGAGUGAAGAAGGGUUUCGGCUCGUAAAACUCUGUUGUUAAAGAAGAACAUAUCUGAGAGUAACUGUUCAGGUAUUGACGGUAUUUAACCAGAAAGCCACGGCUAACUACGUGCCAGCAGCCGCGGUAACACGUAGGUGGCAAGCGUUGUCCGGAUUUAUUGGGCGUAAAGCGAGCGCAGGCGGUUUUUUAAGUCUGAUGUGAAAGCCUUCGGCUCAACCGAAGAAGUGCAUCGGAAACUGGGAAACUUGAGUGCAGAAGAGGACAGUGGAACUCCAUGUGUAGCGGUGAAAUGCGUAGAUAUAUGGAAGAACACCAGUGGCGAAGGCGGCUGUCUGGUCUGUAACUGACGCUGAGGCUCGAAAGUAUGGGUAGCAAACAGGAUUAGAUACCCUGGUAGUCCAUACCGUAAACGAUGAAUGCUAAGUGUUGGAGGGUUCCGCCCUUCAGUGCUGCAGCUAACGCAUUAAGCAUUCCGCCUGGGGAGUACGGCCGCAAGGCUGAAACUCAAAGGAAUUGACGGGGGCCCGCACAAGCGGUGGAGCAUGUGGUUUAAUUCGAAGCUACGCGAAGAACCUUACCAGGUCUUGACAUACUAUGCAAAUCUAAGAGAUUAGACGUUCCCUUCGGGGACAUGGAUACAGGUGGUGCAUGGUUGUCGUCAGCUCGUGUCGUGAGAUGUUGGGUUAAGUCCCGCAACGAG